rnacentral:ncRNA from 1 species
AAGAAAGCUAUGAACGAGACAAAAAGUACUUGAUCUCUUCUAAAGAGAGCCGAUGGAUGGUGAGAAUCGGCGAAGAGCCUUGUAUAAUAUCCCUCGAGAGCCCUUGUCGUGAACUGAGUAAUGACAGGCGUUUCAUUCACGUUACGAAUAAGACUGCUAAGUACAAUGUAGGGUGGUACCGCGAGACUUCGCCCCUAUC